rnacentral:tRNA from 1 species
AGCGGGGUAGGGAAGUCUGGAGUUCCCGAUGGGCUCAUAACCCAUAGCUCGGUGGUUCAAAUGUCAGACGCGUGCGUCUACUGAACGUCCACCCCCCGCUA